AGAGUUUGAUCCUGCUCAGGACGAACGCUGGCGGCGUGCUUAACACAUGCAAGUCGAACGGAAAGGCCCUGCUUUUGUGGGGUGGCUCGAGUGGCGAACGGGUGAGUAACACGUGAGUAACCUGCCCUUGACUUUGGGAUAACUUCAGGAAACUGGGGCUAAUACCGGAUAGGAGCUCCUGCUGCAUGGUGGGGGUUGGAAAGUUUCGGCGGUUGGGGAUGGACUCGCGGCUUAUCAGCUUGUUGGUGGGGGUAGUGGCUUACCAAGGCUUUGACGGGUAGCCGGCCUGAGAGGGUGACCGGCCACAUUGGGACUGAGAUACGGCCCAGACUACCUACGGGAGGCAGCAGUGGGGAAUAUUGCACAAUGGGCGGAAGCCUGAUGCAGCAACGCCGCGUGCGGGAUGACGGCCUUCGGGUUGUAAACCGCUUUCGCCUGUGACGAAGCGUGAGUGACGGUAAUGGGUAAAGAAGCACCGGCUAACUACGUG
rnacentral:rRNA from 1 species